UGAGCGCACGCCCACCUGGAGCUGUAGGUGGUUCCAAGGGUUGGGUUGUUCGCCCAUUAAUGUGGUACAUGAGCUGGGUUCAGAACGUCAUGAGACAGUUC
rnacentral:ncRNA from 1 species